CAGCAGCUGGGCAGGGCAUUGUGAACUGUGGGAUAGGGCAGCCGGGUGGGGCAUUGUGAGCCACAUGCCUGGGAUCCCCUGGGUCAGUGGGCUUCAGUCUGGAGGUGAUUGCAGAAGGAGGAGCAGCUCCCUUUGUUGUCUCUUCAGGCAGUUGUAGUGUCUCUUCAGUGUUUGUUGGGUUCACAACCUAUUUAAAAGCCAGCUGGUCUUCACCCUCCCAGACAAGUCAGCUCAAGGGAGGCAGUGGGGUGCAGGCCUUGGCCUGAGCCCCACCCAAGGCUGAGCUGUGGGGCAGGCAGGAGAGCAGCAGGCAAGACCAUCUCUGCAGGCGCAGUGAAGCCCUGGCCUAGAGCAGCAGGUGUGAGAGGCCAAACCUGCAAGCUAAGGCACAGGUAGUGGCAGAGAGGAGUAGAGGCCCCCCAUGGGGAACACAUUGAACUGUUGUGUGUGCCCCAAGUGGGGCUGGCACCGGGGGCGUGUGUGGCCCUGUGAGCCUGAGAUCUGUGAGGCAGUAACUGGGAACACAACGCCAGUAGCACCAGUGCCUGCUGCUGUAGAGCCUACUGAAUUUGCUUUUGAAGCUGUUGAGAGCCUCCAUGUACACCACAUCCAUGACCAAGAGAUGCCAGAAGAUAGAGCUUUGGAGCCAAACCCUUCUGAUGAUCCAAGGGCAAGCACAAUCUUCUUGCAAAAAUCUCAAACAUAUGUUCAAGAAAAGAGAAAGAGCAACCACAUGAACCAUGUAUCUACUAAGCAUUUUACUAAAAAGUACAGCUCGUGUUCAACCAUAUACCUAGAUGACAGCACAGCCAGCCAGCCUCAUCUUACAAUCAUAGUAAAAUCCAAGAAAAGAUGCCAAAGGAAUACUUUGAGUAUGUUCCUGAACACAAGUUUAUUUACAGAUUUGUCCAUGUUCUUUUUAAAGCCACAAACCUAA
ensembl:lincRNA